rnacentral:lncRNA from 1 species
GUUGCUGUUAUUGGUCUGGGAUACGGCCUGACCACGGGGAGUUUUAAAAGCUCCUUGGUGAUUCUAAUGAUUCUAAAGAAUGCCCAGGUCCUGGGAGAUGAUUACGUUCCAUGAAACAGUGUGAUUGAUUGACCUUUUGAAAUGUCAGCAGUGGCUCCCCGCUCUAGGGGAUUUGUGUGCUUCAUCAGCCCUUGCCUCCUGGGCCAUGUGAGCAAACCAAUUCUGUAAUCGGCAAGACAGCAGAAAGUGGGGAGCCUGGCAACUGCUCACGGGCAGGAUCCUGGAGGAACUGGGGCACAAAAUCAUCCCUAUCGUUUAAACAAACCAGGACUGGGUUUGGAAACCAGACAGUGGCAGCGGGGAAGAGCUGCGAGUCACCCAGAUCUGUUCCUGGGUGGGCGCUAACUUAGACACCCUCCUUCCUGAAGAAGAGGGAAGCUCACCUAAGCCUUGGAAUUGCCAUGGAUGCUUAGCUGCUGCUAAAAGGAAUGACCACGUGCUUAUGAGCUGGUGAUGAUGCAAUGGGAAAGGGCUCUUCCCACACUUGCCGCUACCAGGCCUCCCGCACCUUCUCAUACGGUUGGAGACUCGGCUCUCUGGGUUUGGGCUGUGGCCUUCCAAGGGCCUAGGGAAGACGUGAUGGCUGCCAGAAGGUCUUGGAAGUUGCUGUUGGUGGGGCCUCCCUGCCCUGCUUGACGUUUACUCCCCCACGUCAUCCUUCCCCUGCGCAGCAUCCCGUGGCUUUCAAAGCUGAGGGAUAUAGCACACCAAGAGGGAGGGAGGGGAUUAAGUCAUCCGAUUUCUGUUGCCUUGGUCGGAAGUGGAAGAGCCAUGUGGAAGGGGACUGGCUGGAGCUAUGUGCUCAUGAGUAUUUAUGUAUCUGCAUGUCUGUAGUUCACACAAAGGUUGAACAAAAUCUCCUUCUAGCAAUCAGAAAGCUCUGUUAUGUGACAUUUAGGAAAUUUCCCAGCACAAAAGAUGGUCAAGAUUCUAAAUGCUGACUGAAAGCCUUAGGAGAGUCUUAAAUGUCUUCAGAUUCAUCAAUUAUUAAGUUGUAGUUACGUUAUUUUAUUCCUUGAAAAAUUGGUAGUUCUAAUAUGGUAACUCCGGUAACUUUAUUUUAACCAAGAUAGUUACCUAACCAGCAGAUUCUUUUCAUAACCAUGCUCAGUAGAAGAUGUAUUAUCAGUUUUCUAGUAUUGAAGUUUCUGUGCGAUGUGAAUGAUUCAAAUAGCUGAGAAGUACUAGAACCACCCAGUACGUGUGUGUACAUGUGUGUGCAUGUGUGUGUGUCAGGGGGAGAAGAGAGAGGGAGGUGUAUGUGAGUGAGUCACAGAGACUUUCUGGAAGAGGGGCAACUUCAUCUGGACUCUGAAUAAUGCAAGGGAGAUGGUGAGGAGAUGGGUGUGUAAGGAGAUGGUGAGGGC